AGAGCUAAUGGAAUGACUCAUCGACAGAGUGGAUUAUUUAAAGCACCAUCAGAUCUCAAGAGCAGGAGAUUUACUGCGUGAUGCCAGCCACACCUUGAGCUGCUGCCCAGGGGAACAAAGGCACAACCGAAGCAACACGGCGUUCGCUGGGGGCGAGCAACAAAAUCUGGGAUUAGAGCUGAUGGAAAAGACUGUAACACACUUUCUAUUUUCCACAUCUAUAUUCUGAGAAAGACAGGCAUUGAGGGUUUUCACCAUUGCUUGUAAGCAGUGAAAGUUAAAACAGUAAAUAGAAGAAAGGACAUGGGAGCUCCUGUGUAUGGGCAAGUGCUGCAGCCCUGUGCCAGUGCUGGUCACAUAACCACACACAAGGGACUGGGAGGGUGGAGGAGAGAACACUGCUUUUCAUGGAAACACAAAAG